GUAGAUUAGAACCUUCAUACUUUGAUGUUACGGAGUACAAAGUUCUGCCCUCUCUCCAUCUGUAGAUAGAUCUGCUAUACACAGUUUGAACUUUCUGGACUCUAAACAGAAUUUGAUUUAACUGUAUCAGAAAAAACUAAUCAUAAAUACAACUUUAAUUCACAGACAGAGAAAUACCCAAACUCCUACAUUAGAGGUGACGAAAAUAUGCAAUAAUAAAAACAGAGACAUAACAGCUGGUAUAAUAGGGCAAUCUAGAUCUCCAUAUUAUAACAAAAAGUAUGUAGAUCCUGACCAGAGACAUAACAGCUGGUAUAAGAGGGCAAUCUAGAUCUCCAUAUUAUAACAAAAAGUAUGUAGAUCCUUACCAGAGACAUAACAGCUGGUAUAAGAGGGCAAUCAAGAUCUCCAUAUUAUAACAAAAAGUAUGUAGAUCCUUACCAGAGACAUAACAGCUGGUAUAAUAGUAACAUAUUAAAACAUACAGGCACUAGAUGAGAGGUAAUUCAAAAACGGUUUUUAGGUCACCUGAUCCCCUUUUGUCUGGCGUCAUUGUAAACUUUUAACAUUUUAACAUAAUUAUAAAUUACAUGACCUUAAGGUCUCACAUUUCCCCUUAUUAAUUGUUUGUUUUCCUUCAGAAAUAGUUCAAACUUGCUUAGAAUUAUCAGCUGAAGAUGACAUUAUGAUAAGGUGCACAUAUUGAUCUCGACUGAACCCUAGGGGUUGAUGAGCUGGUCAAAAAUGGGUCAAAUUGACCGAAAUUUCAACAAUCUUCUCAAAAGCUAAAUAAAGUAGAACCAAAUACUCUUUCUAGAUGGAAGUGUCUUACGAUACUUUACCAAAAUUGUGAAUUUCAUGACCCCAGGGUUUCAUGUUUCCCAUUGAGGAGUGAGUAAAAUCUACCAUAGUUUGUGUUUCAAGCAUAAUUUGUUUAUUUUCUUCUAUAAAUAGUUCAAACUUGGUAAGAAUUAUAAGAAUCAGCUAACACUUUGAUGAGAUGCACAUAUUGAUCCCUAGGAGUUGAUGGGCAGGGCCAAAAUUGGGUCAAGUUGACUGAAACUUCAAAGGGGUUUUACUUUUUAUGGAUGAGUCUAUAUAGGAAAAUUCAGUUUUUGAGUGUAAUUUCUUUUAAUUCAAACUUGGUAAGAAGCAUGGGAUAGAAGUAGAUAUUAAACAUAGUUUACAUGUUGGAUUAUGUGUACAAUGAAGUUAAAGCUAUUUUACUUUUUUAACAAAAUUAUUUCUAAGAAAUUUUAAAAGAAGCAUUGUAACUCAGGUGACCCUUAAGGCCCUUGGACUAAGGGAUGCUUGAAGAACUGUGGAGUGGGUGAGGGGCAUUGUCGGGACGAAAUUGUAAUAUUAAGGCCAUAAAAUGGAUAGACUGACAAUUAGACUAGGCAAUGUUCUAUAUACAAGUGAUACGAAUGCCUUAUCGUGACCUAGGUACUGUUCUAUCUACAAGUGACAACUGAACCUGACUAAACACUUGGUACUGUGUUAUCUACAAGUGACAACUAGACCUGACUAAACACUAGGUACUGUUCUAUCUACAAGUGACAACUGGACCUGACUAAACACUAGGUACUGUGCUAUCUACAAGUGACAACUAGACCAGGCUAAACACUAGGUACUGUUCUAUCUACAAGGGACAACUGGACCUGACUAAACACAAGGUACUGUUCUAUCUACAAGUGACAACUGGACCUGACUAAACACAAGGUACUGUGUUGUCUACAAGUGACAACUGGACCUGACUAAAUGCUAGGUACUGUGCUAUCUACAAGUGACAACUGGAUCUGACUAAACACUAGGUACUGUGCUAUCUACAAGUGACAAAUGGACCUGACUAAACACUAGGUACUGUUCUAUCUACAAGGGACAACUGGACCUGACUAAACACAAGGUACUGUGUUGUCUACAAGUGACAACUGGACCUGACUAAAUGCUAGGUACUGUUCUAUCUACAAGGGACAACUGGACCUGACUAAACACAAGGUACUGUGUUGUCUACAAGUGACAACUAGACCUGACUAAACACUAGGUACUGUGUUAUCUACAAGUGACAACUGGACCUGACUAAACACUAGGUACUGUGCUAUCUACAAGUGACAACUAGACCAGGCUAAACACUAGGUACUGUUCUAUCUACAAGGGACAACUGGACCUGACUAAACACAAGGUACUGUUCUAUCUACAAGUGACAACUGGACCUGACUAAACACUAGGUACUGUGUUAUCUACAAGUGACAACUAGACCUGACUAAACACUAGGUACUGUGUUAUCUACAAGUGACAACUGGACCUGACUAAACACUAGGUACUGUGUUAUCUACAAGUGACAACUAGACCUGACUAAACACUAGGUACUGUUCUAUCUACAAGUGACAACUGGACCUGACUAAACACUAGGUACUGUGCUAUCUACAAGUGACAAAUGGACCUGACUAAACAGUAGGUACUGUGUUAUCUACAAGUGACAACUGGACCUGACUAAACACUAGGUACUGUGUUAUCUACAAGUGACAACUAGACCUGACUAAACACUAGGUACUGUGUUAUCUACAAGUGACAACUGGACCUGACUAAACACUAGGUACUGUGUUAUCUACAAGUGACAACUGGACCUGACUAAACACUAGGUACUGUGUUAUCUACAAGUGACAACUGGACCUGA